UGCCAUGUGGGCGAUCUGGCUGCGACAUCUGUCACCCCAUUGAUCGCCAGAGUUGAUUCGGCUGAUCUGGCUGGCUAGGUGGGUGUCUCCUUCCUCCCUCACCGCUCCAUGUAUGUCCCUCCUGAAGCUGUGCGCUCGCUCGAAGAGGACCACCAUCCCUGCUAGAGGAGGGCCGGUCUUCGGUCAAGGGUAUACGAGUAGCUGCGCUCCCCUGCUAGAACCUCCAAACAAGCUCUCAAGGAAGUCUUGUAUUCUAUAAUGAGGAAUGUAUAAGGAUAAUGGGAAGCCUUUGAAGAGCAGUGAGCAAAGGAGAAACAUUAUCU
rnacentral:snRNA from 1 species